GCAAGGCCUAGAGCGCAAGUGCCUAUCCUGAUAGGCAGACGAGGAAGAGGCUUAUCGAACCGUCAGCGGAUACCUCUCGGUGUGCUGCAACCGUAAACAGAUGACAAACCUUUCCGGUAACGGGAAGAACAGAGAGUCUGGGGCAGACGG
rfam:Acidaminococcus intestini RyC-MR95, complete genome.